GGCUCAGGAUGAACGCUGGCGGCGUGCCUAACACAUGCAAGUCGAGCGGGAUUUUCCGGAUUGAAGCUUCGGUAGAUUGAAGGAAAUGAGAGCGGCGGACGGGUGAGUAACGCGUAGGCAACCUGCCCUUUGCAGAGGGAUAGCCAUUGGAAACGAUGAUUAAAACCUCAUAAUGCCACGAAGUGACAUCGCUUUGUGGCCAAAGAUUUAUCGGCAAAGGAUGGGCCUGCGUCUGAUUAGCUGGUUGGUGAGGUAACGGCUCACCAAGGCGACGAUCAGUAGCCGACCUGAGAGGGUGAUCGGCCACAUUGGAACUGAGACACGGUCCAAACUCCUACGGGAGGCAGCAGUGGGGAAUAUUGCACAAUGGGCGAAAGCCUGAUGCAGCAACGCCGCGUGAGCGAAGAAGGCCUUCGGAUUGUAAAGCUCUGUCCUUAGGGAAGAUAAUGACGGUACCUGAGGAGGAAGCCCCGGCUAACUACGUG
rnacentral:rRNA from 1 species